rnacentral:rRNA from 1 species
UACCUACGGGGGGCAGCAGUGAGGAAUAUUGGUCAAUGGACGAGAGUCUGAACCAGCCAAGUCGCGUGAAGGAUGACUGCCCUAUGGGUUGUAAACUUCUUUUAUAUGGGAAUAAAGUGAGGCACGUGUGCCUUUUUGUAUGUACUUUAUGAAUAAGGAUCGGCUAACUCCGUGCCAGCAGCCGCGGUAAUACGGAGGAUCCGAGCGUUAUCCGGAUUUAUUGGGUUUAAAGGGAGCGUAGAUGGGUUGUUAAGUCAGUUGUGAAAGUUUGCGGCUCAACCGUAAAAUUGCAAUUGAUACUGGCG